UACAGAGGAGCCAAGCGUUGUCCGGAUUGACUGGGCGUAAAGCGCACGCAGGCGGUCUGGCGCGUGGGGUGUGAAAUCUGGCCGCUUAACGGCCAGGCGCCAUCCCAUACGGCCGGACUGGAGCCUUGCAGAGGUCGGUGGAAUUGCCGGUGUAGUGGUGAAAUGCGUAGAUAUCGGGAGGAACACCGGUGGCGAAGGCGGCGUUCUGGACUGCAACUGACACUGAGGAACGAAAGCCAGGGGAGCAAACGGG
rnacentral:rRNA from 1 species